AACGAACGCUGGCGGCAUGCCUAACACAUGCAAGUCGAACGAGAUCUUCGGAUCUAGUGGCGCACGGGUGCGUAACGCGUGGGAAUCUGCCCUUUGCUUCGGAAUAACAGUGAGAAAUUACUGCUAAUACCGGAUGAUGUCUUCGGACCAAAGAUUUAUCGGCAAGGGAUGAGCCCGCGUAGGAUUAGGUAGUUGGUGGGGUAAUGGCCUACCAAGCCGACGAUCCUUAGCUGGUCUGAGAGGAUGAUCAGCCACGCUGGGACUGAGACACGGCCCAGACUCCUACGGGAGGCAGCAGUGGGGAAUAUUGGACAAUGGGCGAAAGCCUGAUCCAGCAAUGCCGCGUGAGUGAUGAAAGCCUUAGGGUUGUAAAGCUCUUUUACCAGGGAUGAUAAUGACAGUACCUGGAGAAUAAGCUCCGGCUAACUCCGUGCCAGCCGCCGCGGUAAAAC
rnacentral:rRNA from 1 species